GAGGAGGCUUCAAAGGCCCAUGAGGAGGCCACCACAGGGCCAGCCCCAGUGCUCAGGAAACAUUUGGGGCCAGGGCCUUCCCCAGGGCCUGGUUUGAGUGACCACUGCUGCCAAAACAGGCCCAUCCACGACCCUGGGAGCCUUCACCAUCAGACUGCCUCCUCAUUCCUGGGGCCCUGCAGGGCCUUGUCCCAUUCCCCUUCACCUGGCUUGAUCCUGACCCUCAGUGUGAAAGUCAGGGUGGAUGAGGUAGAAGCCAUAGGAAAACAGGACAGUGGAUGCCAGGACAGUAAAGCAGGAUCUUACAGCCACACCCGGCAUACUGUAACCAUGACUCAGUCUUGUGUUCAUCUUAUGCAGCAAAGCUAUCGGCCUAAUUUUGCAAGGCUGUUGGGAGUGGUUGAGAGUACACUGCUGUUGCUGAUACCAGUAAGAACAGAAAAGAUGGAUGAAAGUGGUUAUACUGAAAUACACUAGAUCCUAACUAGUUCCUGGAAAAUGAUAUUUGUUCUUGUUUUGCUGUUAACAUAAAGUAAAAAUACUUUAAACAAUAUUUAACUUCAAUAAAAAUGCUUAGUGCUAUACA
rnacentral:lncRNA from 1 species